UACGUAGGGUGCAAGCGUUUUUCGGAAUCACUGGGCAUAAAGCGCAUGUAGGCGGCUCGAUCAGUCGAGUGUGAAAGCCCCUGGCUCAACCAGGGAAUUGCAUUCGAUACUGUCGGGCUCGGGGGUGGCAGAGGAGAGUGGAACUCGUAGUGGAGCGGUGAAAUGCGUAGAUAUUACGAGGAACACCGGUGGCGAAAGCGACUCUCUGGGCCACACCUGACGCUGAGAUGCGAAAGCCAGGGGAGCAAACGGG
rnacentral:rRNA from 1 species